GAUGAACGCUGGCGGCGUGCCUAAUACAUGCAAGUCGAGCGAACGGAUGAGAAGCUUGCUUCUCUGAUGUUAGCGGCGGACGGGUGAGUAACACGUGGAUAACCUACCUAUAAGACUGGGAUAACUUCGGGAAACCGGAGCUAAUACCGGAUAAUAUUUUGAACCGCAUGGUUCAAAAGUGAAAGACGGUCUUGCUGUCACUUAUAGAUGGAUCCGCGCUGCAUUAGCUAGUUGGUAAGGUAACGGCUUACCAAGGCAACGAUGCAUAGCCGACCUGAGAGGGUGAUCAGCCACACUGGAACUGAGACACGGUCCAGACUCCUACGGGGGGCAGCAGUAGGGAAUCUUCCGCAAUGGGCGAAAGCCUGACGGAGCCACGCCGCGUGAGUGAUGAAGGUCUUCGGGUCGUAAAACUCUGUUAUUAGGGAAGAACAUAUGUGUAAGUAACUGUGCACAUCUUGACGGUACCUAAUCAGAAAGCCACGGCUAACUACGUG
rnacentral:rRNA from 1 species